CAGUAGCCGCGGUAAUACGUAGGUGGCAAGCGUUGUCCGGAAUUAUUGGGCGCAAAGCGCGCGCAGGUGGUUUAAUAAGUCUGAUGUGAAAGCCCACGGCCCAACCGUGGAGGGUCAUUGGAAACUGGGAAACUUGAGUGCAGAAGAGGAGAGUGGAAUUCCACGUGUAGCGGUGAAAUGCGUAGAGAUGUGGAGGAACACCAGUGGCGAAGGCGACUCUCUGGUCUGUAACUGACGCUGAGGUGCGAAAGCGUGGGGAGCAAACAGGAUUAGAUACCCGGGUAGUCCCUGUCUCUUAUAC
rnacentral:rRNA from 1 species